UCCUUCAGCACAUCUCCCCACCCGGAAGAAGAGGACUCUGGGCUUGGUGAGGGGAGGCCCCAGGAAGAGAACUGAGUUCUCAGAGGGCACAGCCAGCGUCCUCCUCUCAGGGGUCCAGCUCACAUGGGAAAUGCUCUCUGAGAGUCACGGACAUCCUGUGCAAGAACAUGAAGCAGCUGUGGUUCUUCCUCCUCCUGGUGGCAGCUCCCAGAUGGGUCCUGUCCCAGGUGCAGCUGCAGGAGUCGGGCCCAGGACUGGUGAAGCCUUCGGAGACCCUGUCCCUCACCUGCGCUGUCUCUGGUGGCUCCAUCAGCAGUAGUUACUGGUGGAGCUGGAUCCGCCAGCCCCCAGGGAAGGGGCUGGAGUGGAUUGGGCGUAUCUAUGGUAAUAGUGCGAGCACCAGCUACAACCCCUCCCUCGAGAGUCGAGUCACCAUUUCAAAAGACACGUCCAAGAACCAGUUCUCCCUGAAGCUGAGCUCUGUGACCGCCGCGGACACGGCCGUGUAUUACUGUGCGAGAGACACAGUGAGGGGAGGUGGGUGUGAGCCCAGACACAAACCUCCCUGCAGGGAGGCGGAGGGGGCGGGCGCAGGUGCCGCUCAGGACCAGCAGGGGGAGCGCGGGGAUCACAGAGCAGGAGGCCGGGUCAGGAGCAGGUGCAGGGAGGGCGGGGCUUCCCCAUCUGCUCGGUGCUCUCCCUCCUCACCAGCACCUCAGCUGUCCCCAGGGCUCCUCUUUGAUAUCUGUGGUUCUGCUUCCUCACAUCCUUGUGUCAGGGAAGAACGGAGGAAGACAAAUUUUCCUCUUACGGUCGAAAUUUCACCAAUUACUGGGAACUUUCCUACAAGUUCCUGCAGGGCCCAUUUUACCUUCUUUAUUAAAAAAUAUAUUCUAAUGCUUCUCACCAUCUCUUGA